rnacentral:rRNA from 1 species
ACCUCUUUUCUCAGGGAAGAAAAAAAUGACGGUACCUGAGGAAUAAGCAUCGGCUAACUCCGUGCCAGCAGCCGCGGUAAUACGGAGGAUGCAAGCGUUAUCCGGAAUGAUUGGGCGUAAAGCGUCCGUAGGUGGUUGAGCAAGUCUGCUGUUAAAGCUCGGGGCUAAACUCCGAAAAGGCGGUGGAAACUGCUCGACUAGAGUGUGGUAGGGGUAGAGGGAAUUCCCGGUGUAGCGGUGAAAUGCGUAGAUAUCGGAAAGAACACCGGUGGCGAAAGCGCUCUACUGGGCCAUAACUGACACUGAGGGACGAAAGCUAGGGGAGCG